rnacentral:rRNA from 1 species
UACAGGGGGUGCAAGCGUUGUUCGGAAUUACUGGGCGUAAAGCGCGGGCAGGUGGCCUUUUAAGUCCUGUGUGAAAUCCCGGAGCUCAACUCCGGAUGUGCAUAGGAUACUGGAGGGCUAGGGACUGGUAGAGGCGAGCGGAAUUCCUGGUGUAGCGGUGGAAUGCGUAGAUAUCAAGAGGAACACCUGAGGGGAGGACGGGUUGCUGGGCUGACACUGACGCUGACAGCGCGAAAGCGAGGGGAGCAAACGGG